rnacentral:lncRNA from 1 species
AUCAGACAAGACCUUUAAACCUUGUUUUCAAAGUCUUAAGGAGGGAAAAAAAACCAAGGUACUAUGAAUAGGGCACAGGCUGGAGAAAACUUUCUGGUUUCUAAUUUUUCUUCCCUUGACUUACUACUUGAGAGUAGUCAAUACAAUUUUCCAUUUGUAGAAAUGAAAGGCCACAGUUUUUAACUCUUUCAUAAUAAUAUUCUUUGAGCUUCUUGGACCCAGAAGAAGAUAUACAUAUUUAAGUUACAUUUUAACAAUUACUUAUUAAAUGCCUAUAGGGAUCAUGUUCAGUGGCAAAGUAGAAGACUUAUAAUAAAUAAUGAAUAAAUACUUAAUGAAUUAAUGACUAGAAGAAAAGAAAAACAUAACUUGGGUCAACACAUACAAAAUCCAUUGUAAAACUAACUCCCACAGGAUUUGGUCCACGUAAAUACAGCUUUUGACAAUUAUAUAAUAUCAAGCCUAAAGCAUCUGCUUAGAUUUGGAUCAGUUUAGAUUUCAGAAUUCAUUCCUUAGGACCCUAGCCAUACUUUUGAACUUAAUCAAGUGACUCCUGAUAUAAUCAAAGUCUUUAAUACCCAUGAGUAAGUAGUAAUCAUUGACUGGGGUUUUACAGAAAAUUAACCUGACUUACAUACCUGAGAUAAAUUUAUCAUUUCACUCAUCCAAUACUUGUGCUAAAAGCACAUGGUUUCUCAUUUAAGGUAGGAGAUGAUUAUUUUCCACAAUAGAGGUAUAAACACAACUAGUUUCCUCACUUUUUCAAUUAUUCCAGUUUUAGAAGAUGCUUGUUCUCAUAAAUACGGCUCUCUCACUGACUUACUAUGGACUAUCUGGUAGGUCACAUAACAUCUCUGUUCCUCAUUUUAUGUGACAUAAUAGGAAUAAGACAAAAUCCUCCUCCUUCCUACGGGGACUUUUGUGAGUGCUGAUAAAUGCCUACAAAAUGAUAAAUGCUACUGCCUCUUUCAGCAUCUUGAGAAAUGUCAACCAAACACAAAAUAUUUUUGGUGUGUGAAUUAAAAUGCCUCCUACUGCAGGGCUCAGACGUUUCCUUGUAAGAGAGCCUGGCAAGAACUGGCUUAUACAUUCGCCGUCCUCCAGAACGUACUGACAUCACACUUCAUGAUGGCUUGGUAUGACGAUCGCUGUCAAAGUCGCCUGCAUGGAAGCACCCGUGCCCUAUGACUGACAUGAUGUGUCACCGUGACCGAGGACUGAAGGACUCUGAGCACCGUGCGAAGCUCGACUUUGAGCACACCGGACGGAGGGGACGCGGCGCGCGAGCCCAGGGCCUCGAUCCUUCCCUCGCUGGAGUGGAGGAAGAGCGGGAAAGUGCCUGGAGGUCUCGCGGACGGGGCGGGGCCGGCCAGAUCGGCCAGUGCCCCGACAGGAGCAGGCAAUUCUUUUUGGCCAAAGUCGAAUCCCCUGCAGGGAUAGGCCUUGGGAUCUUUCCUCUCCGUGGCCACCACACAACGGCACACACCUUGCUGGGACAGGAAGGCGAGGCGAGCGGCUGGGGGCGCGACCGUCUCGGAGGUGGCCUGGGGACGCGGGCCGGCUGCGGGGACAGGGGCCGCUCCCGCCGCCCUCGCCACCUCGCGCCCGGCCCGGUGCAGCACCGCCUUGCGGCCCGGCCUCCCCUCGCCCUCCCUUGGGGUCUGCGGGGGGCAAGGCCCCCUCAGAGGCCGGGUCUCUCCACAAGCUCCUCCUCAACUGCGGCGUGAGAGCCAGAGCCCGAGCCCGAGCCCGGGUCCCGACUGCACGCCGAGCCCCCGACGGGCCGCGGCGCCUCCCAGCCACGCUCCUCGCGCGGCCGGCGCUCCGCGAGCAGCGCCCCGCGUCCCCGCGUCCGCUCCCGCGGGAAGAUCGGCCGAGGAGGCGCCUGGAGCGGAGGGGAGACCCCGCGCACGAGAGCACCCCCGCCCCCCGCGGGGCCCUCGCCCGACGGAGACUCGCCCCUCAAAGGAACAGGCGCUGCCGCCUGGGGAGGAGGAGAGCACCCGCGGAAUACUCACACUGCGCCGGGUGGCGCGGGGAUCUCGUCGGCAAGGACGCGCGGGUUCGCGCCGGGGAGCGGACCCCAACGGGCAGCGCCCGCGCCGCCGCCUCGGAAGGGAGGCCUCUACCGUCCGGCCGCGGACCUGCAGCCGCCGCAGGCCCCGCCCCUUCCCGCGAGCCCCGCCCCGCCUCGGCCCGCCCCUCCGGCCGGCCCCCUCACCCCCGGCCUGCUCCCUCCCCUGCUCUGUGCCCGCCGGGUGCAAUCGGCUCUCUCCCGGAGACGAACGCGAAGCGACGUGGAAAUCCUUCCACCAAAGUGAGCUGUGUUAUGGGGAAGGUUCUUCAUUUUGCCAACAAGAAAACUGAGAUUCGUCAAGAUAAGUAACUUAAUCAAGCAAGUGAUGAUCUCAAACCCAGGUCCAUCUCCAAUGCCCGUGCUCUUCACCCCAAUAAUAUAAUACCUCAAAAAUGUAAGAUUUUAAAAUUUUCCACCAAAAACAUUUUAGUGGAGCUGCUGAUACACUGGUGAAUGUAUCACCAGUGGUGAUAUUCUGGGAUAAGAAUGAAAGAACAGCUGUUUGCAAAGGAAAGACACAAUAGAUACGUACACCCCCACCUGGAUUACCCCUUCUCUGUUCUACCCUUCCUACGUCCUGUGAUUUCUUUCUCAGAGUUAUCACCUAC